rnacentral:rRNA from 1 species
UACAGAGGGUGCGAGCGUUAAUCGGAGUUACUGGGCGUAAAGGGCUCGUAGGUGGCCAACUAAGUCAGACGUGAAAUCCCUCAGCUUAACUGGGGAACUGCGUCUGAUACUGGAUGGCUUGAGUUUGGGAGAGGGAUGCGGAAUUCCAGGUGUAGCGGUGAAAUGCGUAGAUAUCUGGAGGAACACCGGUGGCGAAGGCGGCAUCCUGGACCAACACUGACACUGAGGAGCGAAAGCCAGGGGAGCAAACGGG